rnacentral:rRNA from 1 species
AACGAACGCUGGCGGCAUGCCUAACACAUGCCAGUCGAACGAGACCUUCGGUUCUAGUGGCGCACGGGUGCGUAACGCGUGGGAACCUGCCCUUAGGUUCGGAAUAACUCCCCGAAAGGGGUGCUAAUACCGGAUAAUGUCUUCGGACCAAAGAUUUAUCGCCUUUGGAUGGGCCCGCGUUGGAUUAGCUAGUUGGUAGGGUAAAAGCCUACCAAGGCGACGAUCCAUAGCUGGUCUGAGAGGAUGAUCAGCCACACUGGGACUGAGACACGGCCCAGACUCCUACGGGAGGCAGCAGUGGGGAAUAUUGGACAAUGGGCGAAAGCCUGAUCCAGCAAUGCCGCGUGAGUGAUGAAGGCCUUAGGGUUGUAAAGCUCUUUUACCCGGGAUGAUAAUGACAGUACCGGGAGAAUAAGCUCCGGCUAACUCCGUG